rnacentral:lncRNA from 13 species
AUGCUGCAACCCAGAUAUAACGAGCCUCUUAUUGACUUGGUGUUUUACUUUGGAGGGAAAUUUGGACCUCAGAGCACCAGUUCAAUCAGCUCCUGCAUUUUAUUUGAAAGUCAUUUUAGAAGCUACCUCGUUUGCCCUGGUGAUGUCAUGCAGCAAAUUAUUUCCUCAGGAACUAAGUUCAAGUGUGGACUGACAGUCAGUUUUGAGUAUCUGGAUUUGUAAUUGCUUUAACAUGAUUUUAAUGUAUGCAGGUCAGAAAGACUUAAAGAAAAUAUUUUCGAAGAGUACUAAUGUCAAAUGGCUCUCCUCCUUUCCUAAAGUUUAAAGAAAACACUCUUAAUAUUGAUUUUGCCUUGCAUGAAAGUUGUCUAAAUCAGUAAAAUCCAUUCAGACACUAUAAGCAAGCAUAUCUUUGUUACAGUAACAUGGCAUUGUCUGGCUGUAGAUACAAAAAUGCUGCUAGCAAGGAUUUUCUUGCUAUUUUCUAAGCCCGUGAGAGACUUUUCUCUCUCACAGAAGAAGUAGCAGAGCUAUGUAAACAACCAAACACCUGCAGCCUUGAAAAGUCUUGUUUAUAGUACAGUAGAAAAAUAUUUUGACAAUGGAUGUUUUAGGAUUUUAGCCAAUCACCCCAAGGGGUGACUGAUCCUUUGUCCUAUUAGACUAUGAAGAAAAAAGUCUAUAAAAGAGUUUGUAAAAUAAUUAAAUAAAUCAAUCUUGCUGCAAUUCCUGCCUGGUGGAUCUUCUCUCAUCCUCCCUACAGCUGUGGGACAUGGUAAUAUACCCUAGUGCAUUUUUUUAAAUACCUGGCAUCAUUAUGAACGAUUUAUGGCUAGCUGAGUGUCUUACGAUGCAUUUAUCAUAAUAGCAUAUUUGAGUUUCUUUUGAAUAUAACAGUAUGUUUCAGAAUCCUGACUACAAGGAAAAUCAGAAAUUUCCUGUUAGAUACACACACACACACACACACACACACAUAUAUAUUUCAGCUAGCCUCUCAUCUUUAAUUCUAUUUCACAGCUUUGAUUGAGAUAAUCAGAAAAGAAUCAAUAAGAGAAAAUGGUAGAUCUUUCACAAUAGCAAAGAAGUUUUAUAACCAGACUUGGUCUUGCCAUUCAUUUAGGGAUGUAAAAGAAGGAAAGGGCAGAGUUUAUAGUGUAAAGCAGAGUUAACAGAAUGUUAGCUCUCCUCAUUGAUGAAACCAGAAAACAGGAUCUUCCCAAUGUUAUUUUUUUGCACAUGGAAUAAAAACAGGGCUUUGUAGAAGAAUGAAUGAAUCAGGGAAGAGUCUAUUUUUCAGUGAACAAUCCACUGGGUGUGUGAGCAGACCUCAUGCAAAACCUCACCAGUCCUGCUCCCACCUCUCACUAGUCCCCUUUGGCUGUACUUGAAAGGCACUUUUGUCAUCAACGACCCAACUCCUAAUCUGGAGCACCCUUCAUAAAGGAGUGAUGGAUGUAUUGGAUGAAAGAAUCUUACCUACUCCAAGCUGCUUAGAAAAAAUUCCCUCGCAAAGGUCAUGGAAGGUCUCUGUCUCAUUCUCAGUUUUUUUUCUAGACAAGAUGGUAAACUGGACCCUAAGUUGAAUUUGUAGAACUGAUGUUUGCUAGUGCCAUGUGUCAGGGCACUGAUGGGCAGAGAAGAGCCCUGGGGAGCUGGAGACUGGCACUGCUGAGGUAUUGCUGCGGCUGCUGCAAGACAUUUGGUCCGAUAAUUCAUGUGUGAAACACGCCUUCCACCUCGGUAAUAAGAUCAGAAACUUAAUUAAAAGUCUGGAACUUCUUAUUAUAAUUUCAUAGGUUAAGUCUUAUACUUUUAUAGGAAGAUAUCAAUUUUACAUGUGGUGUGAAAAAGCAGGGCUUGGGAAUUUCAG